CGGGUGAGUAACGCGUGGGUAACCUGCCUUGUACUGGGGGACAACAGUUGGAAACGACUGCUAAUACCGCAUAAGCGCACAGCUUCGCAUGAAGCAGUGUGAAAAACUCCGGUGGUACAAGAUGGACCCGCGUCUGAUUAGCUGGUUGGUGAGGUAACGGCCCACCAAGGCGACGAUCAGUAGCCGGCCUGAGAGGGUGAACGGCCACAUUGGGACUGAGACACGGCCCAA
rnacentral:rRNA from 1 species